rnacentral:snRNA from 1 species
AUACUUACCUGGCAGGGGAGACACUGUGAUCACCAAGGCAGUUCUCCAAGGGCGAGGCUCACCCUUUACACUCCGGGUGUGCCAGGGGUGGAUCCAGAGACUAGUCUCGGGAGGGGCACUGACAGAAAAU